UGGGAAUCAAAACAAGAGCAAAAGCAACAAAUAUUGUCACACACUACAAUAACAAAAGUCAGUCAUGAGACACAUUCACACUCGUCAGACAAGGCUAAACCGAAUUAAACGAAAAUAGAAAAUAAAUAACGAAUUGUUAUAUAAAUAAAACACAGUGAAAUAAAUAUAUGAAAAUAACACCGAAGCAAAAGGAGAAGAAAUUCGAUUAGUCGCUCAUUUGUGCGAGCGUCUGCUGGUCGGAAUACAAAUUUUAAUCAAAGUUCGAUUAAAGACGCAUUAAUCUUCAGCGUCGGCAAAUCUUCUGUCCAGGGAGUAAUUUCAACAACUAUUAUUGGCUAACUUCCAGACAGACAGCAAAUAAACAUAGUUUGUGUUCAAGUAGCGAGAACCCACACUCAUUGCUGAAAGCUUAAACAAUUGCCCUAAUGGCUGGUCAAAAAUCUGCCGGCAGAAUGUGUCUAUUGUAAUGCGGUGGCAUAAACAGUUACUAGAAGGCUUGAAUCUUUGCUUUAAGCAAUUAGCACUUUUAUCACUGAACUUGAAGAAACAAUUUUCACAAACUCCACGAAACAAAUGUAAAAUCUGAAACAGCAACACAACGAUUACUAGAAGAUUUUUUUUUGUCGAGUGUAAUUUCAUCUUAGUAGAAGAAAAUAAGGUGAAUGGAAAUAAUAAAUUGAAUGAGAUUUGUAAUUAUGCCACGUGGAGGAGUAGUAACGGAAAUGUGAUAGUCCCCUCUAAACCCCUAUUAUUGGAAGAAGAAAGCAUAACAAUGUCCAAACCCUGGAAAAUAAGCCAAACUGGCAUCCAGUGACAGAUAAUGGACGCAAAGCUAAGCGCAGAAAAUGUAUAAACAAAGGAGGAGAAAACGAAAGCGAAGAGAUUUGAUGUUUAUUUCCCACUCACGUGGUGAGUCUUGCGAAUACUGUAUAUAACGUGGAGUGACAACUCAAAUCCAAAGCAAUUAGAAAAAGUGUUAAAUCAAAAAGUGGAUUAAAAGAAUUCGCCAAAAGAAAGAAAGAAGAACUUAAACAACUGCAAUUACGACUCAACUACAAAUCUGCAAUUCACUUAGACGGCUAAGCGGCUUUUAGCGAAAUUUGAUUUGUUUUGAUGAAGUUGGAUUUAACACGCUCACACUCUCAAGCAGGCGCUUAGAAACUAAAUCACUUUUUAAUAUGCGGUGUGUGAAUGGAAAGAGGACGGGGUGACAGUGCGUAUGAGUGACUUUAAUUGUUCGUCGCUUACGUAUGCUUGUUACUGUAACUGCUGAUGAAUAAUGAU